rnacentral:rRNA from 1 species
UUAGGGGCCCCUAGUAUGUUUAUCAUACUAACCCCAAAGGUUUUUUCUACUAUGUCUAUGAAUUGAUGUAUGAAAAAAGUUAUUUGUUAACUUGAAGGCUUCUGUAAAAAGAGUCUUUAAAAACAACUCUUGGCAAUGGAUCUCUUGGUUCUCGCAUCGAUGAAGAGCGUAGCAAAGUGCGAUAAUUAUUGCGACUUGCAUUCAUAGUGAAUCAUCGAGUUCUUGAACGCAUCUUGCGCCUAGUAGUCAAUCUACUAGGCACAGUUGUUUCAGUAUCUGCAUCCACCAAUCAACUUAACCUUUUGUGUUGAGUUGGAACUGGGCUUCUAGUUGAUGGCAUUUAGUUGCUGUCAUGGCCUUAAAUCAAUGUCCUAGGUGUUAGAACAUCUAACACCGGAUGGAAACUUUAGAGCGCUUUAAGAGCAGCUUGGUUAGUGAGUUCAAUAAUUCCAAGCAUUAAGUCUUUUAAUGAACUAGCUUUUCUAUCUAUGGGACACUACUUGGAGAAAUCCAAGUAACCUUUAAACUCACAUUUAGAUCUGAA